UACGGAAGGGGCAAGCGUUGUUCGGAAUCAUUGGGCGUAAAGGGCGCGUAGGUGGUUCUGUAGUGUCUACCGUGAAAGCGUGACGGCUCAACCGUAUUUUGUCGGGUAGAAACUGCAGGACUUGAGGCUGGGAGGGGCUGGUGGGAAUUCCCUGUGUAGCGGUGAAAUGCGUAGAGAUGGGGGAGAACACUCGUGGCGAAGGCGGCCAGCUAGACCAGUUCUGACACUGAGGCGCGACAGCGUGGGGAGCAAACAGG
rnacentral:rRNA from 1 species